rnacentral:misc_RNA from 1 species
UAACAUGUAACCAUCAAGAAACAGAACAUUCUGCCUCAGCUCCACACUCAGAAGAAAAUAAUCAAAGUUCUAAAGAAAGUUCAUACAAUGCUCUUCCUGAGGAUGAAAUAUACAAAUUCAAAACUCUCCUGUGUAUCCUAGACCGUUUCUCCAUUUCAUUUGAAGGCUAUCAUCAACUUUCACAGAUCAAAAUAUAAGGAGAUGGUGCAAAGAUUUCGAGAAGCAGCAAUCUCUUUGUUCUUUCUCAGUGCUUGAGGAUAGCCAAAAAGUAAUGGGAAGCAGUGGAAACCACACAAUUGCUGUUAUCAAGACAUCUGAGGAUUAUGAGUGUCUUGAAACAGGCCUUUCUAAUCUUACGAAGGAAGUAAACUCAUUAGUUAAGGAAGGGUCCAUCCUCAUUGGCAACAACAAUGUCAAACUUGAAUUCUUUCUUGGUGGGGAU